UUCCUUGUAACUGAAAACUGAUCUAAGCCACCCCUCCAGCCUUACACCGUGGUGUUUGUGCAACUUUGAGUCUUCCUGGGUGUGGUAAUAUCACAGGCCAUCACUGUCUCUUCUGGGGUGGUAAAGGUGCCUUCCCCGCUGCCUCCAGUUGUACUCUUGGGCAGAAAAGCCUGACUCUCAGAGAUGGUGCAUUUGUAGUAGGGAAUUGAGGUUAGAAGGGCAAGUGCCCGCCAUGAAAAUGCCUACUUCCCUGCAGGACCAAUUUGCACCACAGUCCUGGCAUCAUGUUCUCCAUCCCGCGGUGGGUCGGUUCUGCCCUGGAAGCUGUCACAGCUUCUUCUCUGUCUCAUCACACACCGUGGGAUUUUCCACAUGUGCUAAAAUCCCGUUGGUGUUAUUUGCAGGAUUGAGACUUCCCCCUUCCCUUUCCCAUAUGACAAACGUAGUGUGCUUUUCCUAGCGAACUUAAAAUCCAGACAUCCCUGCGAAUAAGGAUGAUUGUAGCGGAGACUGACUCCCUUCUGAGGACAGCCUUGUCCCCUCAGAAGCACUUUGCCAGCUCCCCCACAGGACUGCGGGAUGCCCAGCUCCUCAGAGCUCAUUGCGCCCAGGGGAAGCUCCUGCUGGUGGAGGAGGGCCCUUUGUGAUCAGGGAGUAGAGAGGGUCUGGCAGGGUCCUGCAGAUAGAGCAAGUACCCAGGUGCGGCUCUGAUUCUAUGUGGAAAACCAGGCCUUCACUUCCUUUCUUUCUCUGUGUUUCUGGUUCAUGCAGACCAUGCUUCUGUGGAGCUGGGGAAGGUGUCAGGGUGGGUUGUCCUGCACAGAGAGGCUUCCUGUUUGGGAGGUCCUACUUUAUCAAUUUGCUGGAACCUCUGUACAUCAUCUCAGGCAGGACUCUCGCCUUCCUCCACUUACAGACACCGGCAGUGUCAUGUGGCAACAGUGUUUUAUCCCCAAGGUCGAGUGUGUGGCCCUGUUCUGCUGUCUGGGCACCCGGUGGAGGGGAGGGUGCCCUGUGCUGACAGCUGCUGCAUUGGGUUUCAGGUUCUGUAGGUGUUGUUCCUUUUGUCUGUCAUCCAACACAGCUCUCUCUUCUGUUCUGCAGGUCACUGUGGAUUCCCGAUGUCCCGGUACUUGUGCAGGACCACUUGGUGUGCCUCACCCGAUGGGACACCCAGCAUCACUUCUCAGAGGCUAUUCAUCACCGCCACCCCCACCUCUGUUGUGGCCUAUGCGGUCUCACCCACCACCACCACCACCACCAGUUACAGCACUCGCACAGUCCAUUUGCCACAUGAAGGGGCCCCUCAGCUGUGGCAAUGAUGUGUUUAGAGAAGAUGUCAGAGGUGCAUUACAGCCCGAAUGUUUCCCUGCUCCAACCUGCCCCCUCUGCUGUUCUCUCCUAUUGUCACCCCUAAUGAAAUUGUCACAGUUC